rnacentral:rRNA from 1 species
UACGUAGGGGGCUAGCGUUGUCCGGAAUCAUUGGGCGUAAAGAGCGUGUAGGCGGCCCGGUAAGUCCGCUGUGAAAGUCGGGGGCUCAACCCUCGGAUGCCGGUGGAUACUGUCGGGCUCGAGUACGGAAGAGGCGAGUGGAAUUCCUGGUGUAGCGGUGAAAUGCGCAGAUAUUGGGAAGAACACCAGCGGCGAAAGCGCGCUACUGGGCCAUUACUGACACUCAUGGACGAAAGCUAGGGGAGCGAAAGGG